GACAGAGGAGCCAAGCGUUGUCCGGAUUGACUGGGCGUAAAGCGCACGCAGGCGGAUGCGCGCGUGGGGUGUGAAAUCUGGCCGCUUAACGGCCAGGCGCCAUCCCAUACGGCGCGGCUCGAGCCGUCCAGAGGCCGGUGGAAUUGCCGGUGUAGUGGUGAAAUGCGUAGAGAUCGGCAGGAACACCCAGGGGGAAACCAGCCGGCUGGGGA
rnacentral:rRNA from 1 species